AUUGAACGCUGGCGGCAGGCCUAACACAUGCAAGUCGAACGGUAACAGGAAGAAGCUUGCUUCUUUGCUGACGAGUGGCGGACGGGUGAGUAAUGUCUGGGAAACUGCCUGAUGGAGGGGGAUAACUACUGGAAACGGUAGCUAAUACCGCAUAACGUCGCAAGACCAAAGAGGGGGACCUUCGGGCCUCUUGCCAUCGGAUGUGCCCAGAUGGGAUUAGCUAGUAGGUGGGGUAACGGCUCACCUAGGCGACGAUCCCUAGCUGGUCUGAGAGGAUGACCAGCACCACUGGACAUGAGCCACGGCCCAGCCCCCGCGGGGGGGCGGCGGGGGGGAAUAUGGAACAAGGGGCGCAAGCUUGAUGCAGCCAUGCGGGGUGAAUGAAGAAGGCUUUGGGUUUGUAAAGUCUUUUCGGGGGGGGGGAAGGGAGAAAAUUUAAUACCUUGGCUAAUUGACGUUCCCGGAAAAAGAAGCCCCGGCUAACCCCGUG
rnacentral:rRNA from 1 species